ACGGCAAGCGAGCUCAUCGCCUCGCAAUAGCGAGGAGGAAAGUCCGGGCAGCAUAGAGUACCGUACUUCUUAACUAGAAGUCUUUUUGUGAAAAAAGGAGAAAGUGCAACAGAAAAUAUACCGUCCUGAGGUUUUGGGAUAAGGGUGAAAAGGUGAGGUAAGAGCUCACCGGUUUUAAUGUGAAUUAAAACGCAUUGUAAACCUUACGUGCUGAAAGGUCAAAUAGGUCUUGCUUUUAAGAGUUACUCGCUCGUGCAAGAUGGGUGGACCGUUGGAUCCCAAGAGUGAUUUUGGGACUAGAUAAAUGAUGAGACAGUGCUGAGAUUCAUCUCUGCAUGGUACAAAACCCGGCUUAUUUGCUUGCUAUUUUA
rnacentral:RNase_P_RNA from 1 species